GCAAUUAUACCGUGAAACUGCGAAUGGCUCAUUAAAUCAGUUAUCGUUUAUUUGAUAGUACCUUACUACUUGGAUAACCGUGGUAAUUCUAGAGCUAAUACAUGCUAAAAACCCCAACUUCGGGAGGGGUGUAUUUAUUAGAUAAAAAACCAAUGCCCUUCGGGGCUCUUUGGUGAUUCAUGAUAACUUAACGGAUCGCAUGGCCUUGCGCCGGCGACGGUUCAUUCAAAUUUCUGCCCUAUCAACUUUCGAUGGUAAGGUAUUGGCUUACCAUGGUUUCAACGGGUAACGGGGAAUUAGGGUUCGAUUCCGGAGAGGGAGCCUGAGAAACGGCUACCACAUCCAAGGAAGGCAGCAGGCGCGCAAAUUACCCAAUCCCGACACGGGGAGGUAGUGACAAUAAAUACUGAUACAGGGCUCUUUUGGGUCUUGUAAUCGGAAUGAGUACAAUUUAAACCCCUUAACGAGGAACAAUUGGAGGGCAAGUCUGGUGCCAGCAGCCGCGGUAAUUCCAGCUCCAAUAGCGUAUAUUAAAGUUGUUGCAGUUAAAAAGCUCGUAGUUGAACCUUGGGCCUGGCUGGCCGGUCCGCCUCACCGCGUGUACUGGUCCGGCCGGGCCUUUCCUUCUGGAGAGCCGCAUGCCCUUCACUGGGCGUGUCGGGGAACCAGGACUUUUACUUUGAAAAAAUUAGAGUGUUCAAAGCAGGCCUUUGCUCGAAUACGUUAGCAUGGAAUAAUAGAAUAGGACGCGCGGUCCUAUUUUGUUGGUUUCUAGGACCGCCGUAAUGAUUAAUAGGGAUAGUCGGGGGCAUCAGUAUUCAAUUGUCAGAGGUGAAAUUCUUGGAUUUAUUGAAGACUAACUACUGCGAAAGCAUUUGCCAAGGAUGUUUUCAUUAAUCAGUGAACGAAAGUUAGGGGAUCGAAGACGAUCAGAUACCGUCGUAGUCUUAACCGUAAACUAUGCCGACUAGGGAUCGGGCGGUGUUUCAAUAUUGACCCGCUCGGCACCUUACGAGAAAUCAAAG
rnacentral:rRNA from 1 species